rnacentral:lncRNA from 1 species
UUUGAUGCUCAAAUUACAAAUAUAAGACCAAAAACACUUUCAAGUGCGAAAUAAGUUUCAACUUGCGCACUUACAUGUAACAAAAUAGGCAAAGUAUACACAAAUAUAAAUUAGCAGAAAUGAGACUCUUAAGACACUAGUUGUGCCUAAUCUGGUAAUAUUUUCAACCUGCUCUUCACAUUUUUUGCUCCUCUGAUAUAAUUGAAAUGGUUCUAGAAUAUGAUAAAAAUUGUUUAUGCAACUUGAAAAAUCAUCAACUAACUUAAAAAUGUAAAUUACCACAUCACAAAAAGGAAUUUGUUUCAUUUUAAAUGGGACAAGCUUCAUGAUGAAUCUUUAUACAGCACAAAUGAAUUCUAGCACUAACAUAAAAGAAUUCAAGGAUUCCAACUCUAUUUAGUCUCCAAAAACAUCCUGAUUUACACCUAUUUUUCAAUCACAAUAACAGUACAAGCUUGCACAAGGCAAGACCGUACAAGCUCAUGCGAGCAACUGGAACAGAGUAAAAUCUUGAACAAAUCAACUUAGGCCAUUUCAAAUCGGCAAUGAAGUAAUUACAAUGUAGCAGUACAUAUGUAUAGAGCCAAAAGGCAGCAAAUACAGUGGCAAACAAGCCAUCAGUUGCAGUAGCAUGUCAAAAGCACAUCUCAAUCGAUAAGCAACUUUUCCAAGACACCAUGUCGAAACUGUCAAUACUCUGCAAACACUUCAUAUUAGAGAACCGUUUUUCUCCACAUGGAAGUUCGAAAUUUUGAAAAUAGUAAACAGAACAUGUGAUCAAUAAAA